UUGAAACCCACUGCAGCUGCUGGACGCUGCACAAGAGAGAUUUUUAAAACUCUUGUGCGUGUGACAGCGGCUAUUGUGGGACUUCUCAAACAACAU
rnacentral:pre_miRNA from 1 species